ACGAACGCUGGCGGCAUGCCUAACCCCUGCCAGUCGAACGAGACCUUCGGGUCUAGUGGCGCCCGGGUGCGUAACGCGUGGGAACCUGCCUUUAGGUUCGGAAUAACUCAGAGAAAUUUGAGCUAAUACCGGAUGAUGUCUUCGGACCAAAGAUUUAUCGCCUUUAGAUGGGCCCGCGUUGGAUUAGCUAGUUGGUGGGGUAAAGGCCUACCAAGGCGACGAUCCAUAGCUGGUCUGAGAGGAUGAUCAGCCACACUGGGACUGAGACACGGCCCAGACUCCUACGGGAGGCAGCAGUGGGGAAUAUUGGACAAUGGGCGAAAGCCUGAUCCAGCAAUGCCGCGUGAGUGAUGAAGGCCUUAGGGUUGUAAAGCUCUUUUACCCGAGAUGAUAAUGACAGUAUCGGGAGAAUAAGCUCCGGCUAACUCCGUG
rnacentral:rRNA from 1 species